rnacentral:rRNA from 1 species
AACGAACGCUGGCGGCAUGCCUAACACAUGCAAGUCGAACGAGACCUUCGGGUCUAGUGGCGCUCGGGUGCGUACCGCGUGGGAACCUGCCCUUAGGUUCGGAAUCACUCCCCGAAAGGGGUGCUAAUACCGGUUAAUGUCUUAGGACCAAAGAUUUAUCGCCUUUGGAUGGGCCCGGGUUGGUUUAGCGAGUUGGUAGGGUAAAAGCCUACCAAGGCGACGUUCCUUGGCUGGUCGGAGAGGAGGACCAGCCACACUGGAACUGAGACACGGCCUAGACCCCGACGCGAGGGAGCAGUGGGGAGUAUUGGACGAUGGGCGAUAGCGUGAUCCCGCAAUGCCGGGUGAGUGAUGAAGGCGUUAGGGUUGUAAAGCUCUUUUACCCGGGAUGAUAAUGACAGUACCGGGAGAAUAAGCACCGGCUAACUCCGUG